rnacentral:rRNA from 1 species
AGAGUUUGAUCAUGGCUCAGGAUGAACGCUAGCUACAGGCUUAACACAUGCAAGUCGAGGGGCAGCAGGGAUUUAGCUUGCUAAAUCCGCUGGCGACCGGCGCACGGGUGCGUAACGCGUAUCCAACUUUCCCGUUACUCAGGGAUAGCCUUCCGAAAGGGAGAUUAAUACCUGAUGGUGUUUGAAGUUCGCAUGUUCUUCAAACUAAAGAUUUAUCGGUAACGGAUAGGGAUGCGUGACAUUAGAUAGUAGGCGGGGUAACGGCCCACCUAGUCUACGAUGUCUAGGGGUUCUGAGAGGAAGGUCCCCCACACUGGAACUGAGACACGGUCCAGACUCCUACGGGAGGCAGCAGUGAGGAAUAUUGGUCAAUGGUCGGAAGACUGAACCAGCCAAGUAGCGUGAAGGAUGAAGGUUCUAUGGAUUGUAAACUUCUUUUAUACGGGAAUAAAGCCCACUACGUGUAGUGGUUUGUAUGUACCGUAUGAAUAAGCAUCGGCUAACUCCGUGCCAGCAGCCGCGGUAAUACGGAGGAUGCGAGCGUUAUCCGGAUUUAUUGGGUUUAAAGGGAGCGUAGACGGGAUGUUAAGUCAGCUGUGAAAGUUUGGGGCUCAACCUUAAAAUUGCAGUUGAUACUGGCGUCCUUGAGUGCGGUUGAGGUAUGUGGAAUUCGUGGUGUAGCGGUGAAAUGCUUAGAUAUCACGAAGAACUCCGAUUGCGAAGGCAGCAUACUAAGCCGCUACUGACGUUGAGGCUCGAAAGUGUGGGUAUCAAACAGGAUUAGAUACCCUGGUAGUCCACACGGUAAACGAUGAAUACUCGCUGUUGGCGAUAUAAUGUCAGCGGCCAAGCGAAAGCAUUAAGUAUUCCACCUGGGGAGUACGCCGGCAACGGUGAAACUCAAAGGAAUUGACGGGGGCCCGCACAAGCGGAGGAACAUGUGGUUUAAUUCGAUGAUACGCGAGGAACCUUACCCGGGCUCAAACGGCACAGUGAUACUUUUGAAAGGAGGUAGCUCUACGGAGACUGUGCCGAGGUGCUGCAUGGUUGUCGUCAGCUCGUGCCGUGAGGCGUCGGCUUAAGUGCCAUAACGAGCGCAACCCCUAUUGUCAGUUGCCAGCAGGUAAAGCUGGGGACUCUGACGAGACUGCCGGCGCAAGCUGAGAGGAAGGCGGGGAUGACGUCAAAUCAGCACGGCCCUUACGUCCGGGGCGACACACGUGUUACAAUGGCAGGCACAGCGGGAAGCCACCCGGCGACGGGGAGCGGAACCCGAAAGCCUGUCUCAGUUCGGAUCGGAGUCUGCAACUCGACUCCGUGAAGCUGGAUUCGCUAGUAAUCGCGCAUCAGCCAUGGCGCGGUGAAUACGUUCCCGGGCCUUGCACACACCGCCCGU